CAGUUAGGUUUCGAAUGUUAAAGCAACUUUAUUUUUUUCUUUAUAGUAUAAUUUCAAGAGUUGCUUUCAAAACCUGAUGAAGAAGAUAAAUGUCGUUAUUCUUGUAAUAUAUUUCAUAUCUUUUUCAAAGUUGUUUUCACAAGUGUUUAAACAUUCAAUUAGGGAUUGUCUAUAUAUUUUGCAAUGCAAAGUUGAUUUUAAAAAAAGAAGUAGAUAAUAUUUAAUUCUUUUACAUGACAAAACUUUUAGAAAAAAACUUUUGAUCUCUUAUGUUUUGUUUAUUAGUGAAAUUUAGCGUUGUAUAAUUUAUGGACAAACCCUAUUCAAUUCCACAUUUAAAUCAAAGAAAUUCACUAAUACUUUAAUUUUUGCUUUUUCUAUUUUUUUAUUUUAGAAAUUCAUGGAAAACCCGAUUAUUUUACCUAGCUUUUAAAUUAUUAAUUAGUUUUUAGACUUGUCCUAAAAGUUAGUUAAAAUUACGAUACUUACAGCAACUAUAAUUUUAUUGUAGUGAAAAUUUUGUUAUCGCGCAAUCAAACAAAAUGUACUAUGCAAAAUUAAAAAAAAAGACUUGAAAUAAAGAGAUAAUUGAGUUUUUUAUCCUGGGGAAAAUAAAAAACUAAAUUGUGCUCUUUAAAGUACUUUCAAAUGUUCUGUGAUUGUUAUAGAGUUCAAAUUUUUAAAGUUACUUAUAAAUUUAUUUGUUUUUAGGGGAAAAAGAUAGAUGUUUUUAAUCUUCUGGAUCAUACUUUUAAAAUACCUCACUCUAUUGAUGUCAACAUCUGAAGCCUUACAACAGCAUACCUUUCAAUAAUAUCUAACUCAAUAUUACAUCAUUUGUAAAAAUGUGCAUUUGAAUACAAUUAAAAUGUGUCAUUUCUCAGAAAAAUUUAAAAGUGCUUAUUUAAAUUUUUCUAAAUAUGGCAUGUAAUUUUUUAAUGCUUUGAUUCAGACAUUAAAGAUUUGUUAUCAAAACAACAUUUAAAGUUUAAAAAUCAAAUAUCUUCAACAAUUACAACACAAACUAAUUUGCGUAGUUUCAAAAACUGUAUCAAUUUGAUUCUGUAUAUUUGUACAAAGAUAUCAUGAGUGUCUUGUUCCAGCAAUAAAGUCGUAUAUGAAAGAUUUAAAAAGCUUCAUCAACUUACAACAACAUACUCUAGAUUCCAAUAUUAGACUAAAUUUAGACUUAAAAGGUUGUGACAAAACCCUGAAGAUUUAAUUAGAAAAAAAUGUGUUUUGAGUUUAUAUUGUAAAUAUGUUACUAUUGAAAAAGUUUAUCAAAUUGCAUUUGUAUGCAUUUACUUGUAUAUUCUAGUUUAAAAAAGUUUAUUAUAUAUUAA